CCUACGGGAGGCAGCAGUGAGGAAUAUUGGUCAAUGGACGAGAGUCUGAACCAGCCAAGUAGCGUGAAGGAUGACUGCCCUAUGGGUUGUAAACUUCUUUUAUAUGGGAAUAAAAUGUUCCACGUGUGGGAUUUUGUAUGUACCAUAUGAAUAAGGAUCGGCUAACUCCGUGCCAGCAGCCGCCGUAAUAGGGAGGAUCCGAGCGUUAUCCGGAUUUAUUGGGUUUAAAGGGAGCGUAGGUGGAUUGUUAAGUCAGUUGUGAAAGUUUGCGGCUCAAACGUAAAAUUGCAGUUGAAACUGGCAGUCUUGAGUACAGUAGAGGUGGGCGGAAUUCGUGGUGUAGCGGUGAAAUGCUUAGAUAUCACGAAGAACUCCGAUGGCGAAGGCAGUUCACUGGACUGCAACUGACACUGAGGCUCGAAAGUGUGGGUAUCAAACAGGAUUAGAUACCCUUGUAGUC
rnacentral:rRNA from 1 species